rnacentral:rRNA from 1 species
UACGGAGGGGGCUAGCGUUGUUCGGAAUUACUGGGCGUAAAGCGCGCGUAGGCGGAUCUGCAAGUCGGGGGUGAAAUCCCGAGGCUCAACCUCGGAACUGCCUUCGAUACUGCGGGGUCUCGGAGUCCGGGGAGAGGUGAGUGGAAUUCCUAGUGUAGAGGUGAAAUUCGUAGAUAUCAGGAAGAACACCCGUGGCUAAGGCGGCUCUCUAGUACG